AACGAACGCUGGCGGCAUGCCUAACACAUGCAAGUCGAACGAGACCUUCGGGUCUAGCGGCGCACGGGUGCGUAACGCGUGGGAAUCUGCCCUUGGGUUCGGAAUAACAGUUGGAAACGACUGCUAAUACCGGAUGAUGACGUAAGUCCAAAGAUUUAUCGCCCAAGGAUGAGCCCGCGUAGGAUUAGCUAGUUGGUGAGGUAAAGGCUCACCAAGGCGACGAUCCUUAGCUGGUCUGAGAGGAUGAUCAGCCACACUGGGACUGAGACACGGCCCAGACUCCUACGGGAGGCAGCAGUGGAGAAUAUUGGACAAUGGGCGAAAGCCUGAUCCAGCAAUGCCGCGUGAGUGAUGAAGGCCUUAGGGUUGUAAAGCUCUUUUACCCGAGAUGAUAAUGACAGUACCGGGAGAAUAAGCUCCGGCUAACUCCGUG
rnacentral:rRNA from 1 species